rnacentral:misc_RNA from 1 species
GACUCGUGCGAUUCAAGCUUGCGUCGGAGUUCGGAGUAUAAGUAGCGCGUCGAUUCGACGUGACAUUUAACUUUUGUACGGCGGUGUCCGAAAGGACUUGAAAGGAUUUUCUUUUAGGGUACAGUCGCCAAGCGUGGCAACAAACAGCGCAAAAUGUCGUCGGGCGUGAUAGACAUCCUCGUGGACAUGGGUUUCAGUAUGUCCAAAGCUGAAAAGGCUCUGGAGAUCACCGGUAACAAAGGUGUGGAGCCGGCGAUGGAAUGGCUGCUGGCCCAUUCCGACGAGGCGGAACCCGCGCCAGAACCCUCCGUAGGCGAGAGUGCUCCGGCGCUAGCUACCGACACGCAGGACAGCGUCGCCGGAGCUAGCAGUCAACCGGUAUCCACUACUGAAACGGCCAAAUCUAUGAAGUGCGACGUAUGUGGAAAACUCUUUAAAUCUAACUUAGAAGUUGAGUUCCAUGCUACAAAGUCUGGGCAUGAUAGAUUUUCUGAAAGCACAGAGGAGAAAAAGCCACUUACUGAAGAGGAGAAGCGGGAGCAAUUAAAGAUGCUAGAAGAAAAGUUGAAGCAGAAAAGGAAGGAGAGAGAAGAACAGGAAAAGAAAGAUGCAUUUGAAAGAGAAAAGAAUAGGAUACGAUCAGGAAAGGAAAUGUCUGAAGCCAGAAAAAAAUUAGAAGAGUUGGAGAUGCAGAAGCUUCUGGAGCAAAGAAAACGAGAGAAAGCAGAGGAAAAGGAAGCAAAACAGAGAGUUCGAGCGCAAAUUGAAGCCGAUAAAGCAGCGCGACGAGCUAAAGCGGCUGCUGAAAGCAGUCAACCAGUUAAUACCACUUUGGCCCCAUUAUCCGUAACAUCUUCGUCCACGUCUACGCAUCAUAGGAAGGAUUACACCGAGACUAGGCUUCAAGCUUACCAAUGGCCAAACCUUGACACAAAGCUUCGGAAGCAAGGAACAAUUAUCCGCGGUGAGACUGUUUAUUGAAAUGAACAGGACAGACGGUAACGAUCCCUUCCAGCUAAUGACAACAUUUCCCAAGAAGGUAUUUACAGAUGAGGAUUACGAUACGCCAUUGGAUGUAUUAGGCCUAGUACCCUCAGCAGUCGUGAUCGUUCAAAAGAAGAUGGAAUGAUGUAGCCAGUAAUGCCCUAAUUUGUAAGCAAAAAUAUUAAUGUAUAUUAUACAGAUUAAUUAUAAGACAUUCACUCUAA